rnacentral:rRNA from 1 species
UACGUAGGUGGCGAGCGUUGUCCGGAUUUAUUGGGUUUAAAGGGUGCGUAGGCGGUCCUAUAAGUCAGUGGUGAAAUAUCGCAGCUCAGCUGUGAGGGUGCCAUUGAUACUGUAGGACUUGAGUGAAUUUGAGGUAGGCGGAAUUGACGGUGUAGCGGUGAAAUGCUUAGAUAUCGUCAAGAACACCGAUAGUGAAGACAGCUUACCAAGCUUCAACUGACGCUGAGGCACGAAAGUGUGGGGAUCAAUCAGG